rnacentral:lncRNA from 1 species
AUGAAAUCCUCUAGGUUGCUCAUGCUUUUCACAGAAUACCUUCUUUGUCUUUAUUGGGUUUAUGGAUACUACAGACAACAGAGAAAACUUGUUGAAGAGAUUGGCUGGUCCUAUACAGGAGCAUUGAAUCAAAAAAAUUGGGGAAAGAAAUAUCCAACAUGUAAUAGCCCCAAACAGUCUCCUAUCAAUAUUGAUGAAGAUCUUACACAAGUAAAUGUGAAUCUUAAGAAACUUAAAUUUCAGGAUUGGGAUAAAACAUCUUUGGAAAACACAUUCAUUCAUAACACUGGGAAAACAGUGGAAAUUAAUCUCACUAAUGACUACCGUCUCAGUGGAGGGGUUUCAGAAACAGUGUUCAAAGCAAGCAAGAUAGCUUUUCACUGGGGAAAAUGCAAUAUGUCAUCUGAUGGAUCAGAACAUAGUUUAGAAGGGCAAAAAUUUCCACUAGAGAUGCAGAUCUACUGCUUUGAUGCAGACCGAUUUUCAAGUUUUGAAGAAGCAAUUAAAGGAAAAGGGAAGUUAAGAGCUUUAUCCAUUUUAUUUGAGGUUGGAAUAGAAGAAAAUUUGGACUACAAAGCAAUUAUAGAUGGAGUGGAGAGGGUUAGUCGUUUUGGGAAACAGGCUGCGCUGGAUCCAUUCACAUUGCUAAACCUUCUGCCAAACUCAACGGACAAGUAUUACACUUACAAUGGCUCCCUGACAUCGCCUCCCUGCACAGACACCGUUGACUGGAUUAUUUUUAAAGAUACAGUUAGCAUUUCUGAAAGCCAGUUGGCUGUUUUCUGUGAAGUUCUUACAAUGCAACAGUCUGGUUAUGUCAUGUUGAUGGACUACUUACAAAAUAAUUUUCGAGAACAACAGUACAAGUUCUCCAGGCAGGUGUUUUCCUCAUAUACUGGAAAGGAAGAGAUUCAUGAAGCAGUUUGUAGUUCAGAACCAGAAAAUGUUCAAGCUGACCCAGAGAAUUAUACUAGCCUUCUUGUUACAUGGGAGAGACCUCGAGUAGUUUAUGAUACCAUGAUCGAGAAGUUUGCCGUUCUGUACCAGCAGUUGGAGGGAGAAGACCAAACCAAGCAUGAGUUUUUGACAGAUGGCUAUCAAGAUUUGGGUGCUAUUCUUAAUAAUUUACUACCCAAUAUGAGUUAUGUUCUUCAAAUAGUAGCCAUAUGCACUAAUGGCUUAUAUGGAAAAUACAGUGACCAGCUGAUUGUGGACAUGCCUUCUGAUGACCCUGAACUUGACCUCUUUCCCGAAUUAAUUGGAACUGAAGAAAUAAUCAAGGAAGAAGAAGAGGGAAAGGACAUGGAAGGAGACACUGUUGUGAAUCCUGGUAGAGACGGUGCCACAAACCAGAUCAGGAGAAAGGAACCCCAGAUUUCUACCACAACAAAUUACAACCGAGUGGGGACCAAAUACAACGAGGCCAAGACUAACCGCUCCCCAGCAAGAGGAAGCGGGUUCUCUGGAAAGAGUGAUAUUCCCAACACAUCUUUAGAUUCCACCUCCCAGCCAGUCACUGAAUUAGACCCAGAAAAAGACGUUCUUUCGACUUCACGGACUGUGACCCAGCCUCCCCCUCUCACUCUGGCAGGCACUUCAGCCUCUUCAAGUGACGCCUCUAAAACCAUUCUCCGAUUUCCACAGAUGAACUUGUCCGGGACGGUGGAAUAUUCAGAUACAGUGUCCACGACGGAAUCGCAAGAGGUAUCUACUGAUAUCAGUGAGGAAGAGAGUUUAUUGACCAGUUUCAAGCUCGAUCCAGGAGCCGAUGAUUCUUCCGGUUCCAGUCCCGCAACUUCCGCUGUGCCAUUCGUCUCCGAGAACACAUCCCCUGGCGAUGUAUUAUUUCCUUCAGAAAACCCAGAGGCCGUCACAUACGAUGUCUUUAUCCCAGAAUCUGCGAGAAAUGCUUCAGAAGAUUCCGCCUCCUCAGGUUCAGAAGAAUCUCUCAAGGAUCCUUCCGUUGAUGGAAAUAUGUGGUUUCCUAGUACAACAGACGUGACGACGAUGCCCGAUGUCGGGUCAGGUAGAGAGAGCUUUCUCCAGACUAAUUACACCGACGUGGAUAGUGACGAAUCUGAGAAGACAACAGAAUCCUCUCCUCCAGGCCCACUGCCGUCACAGGGCCCCUCGGUCUCAGAUGUGCGAAUGCCACAGUAUUCUACCUUUGCAUACUUCCCCACUGAGGUGACACCUCACGCUUUUACUCCGUCCUCCGGACAACACCAUUCGGUCCCCACCGUCAACGUGGUACACGCGCAGACAACUCAACCAGUGUACAAUGGUGAGGCACCUCUCCAACCUUCCUACAGUAGUGAAGUCUUUCCUCUAGUCACCCCCUUGUUGCUUGACAACCAGACCCUCAACACUACCCCUGCUGCUUCAAGUAGUGAUUGGGCCUUGCAUGCUACACCUGUAUUUCCCAGUGUCGGUGUGUCCUUCGAAUCCAUCCUGUCUUCCUCUGAUGGUGCGCCUUUGCUCCCAUUUUCCUCCGCUUCCUCCAGUAGUGAAUUGCUUCACCGUGUGUAUACGAUCUCUCAGAUCCUUCCGCAAAUUACUGCAGCUCUUGAGAGCGAUCAGGGGUCCCUGCAUGUUUCUCUGCCGGUGGCUGGGGGUGAUUUGCUAUUAGAGCCCAGCCUUGCUCCGUAUUCUGAUGCCAUGUCGCAUCAGAUCACUACGCGUGCUGCUUCGGAGACCUUGGAAUUUGGUGCUAGCAAGCCUGCUGUCCUUUAUCAAACGCUUAUGUUUUCUCCAGCUGAAGCAUCCAGCAGUGAUGUCCUGAUGCAUGCACGUUCUUCAGGGCCUGAACCUUAUGCCUUAACUAAUGAGGAGGGCUCCCAACACCUCUUCAGGGUUUCUGACAGUUCUGCGGUACCUGGGCGUGAUUCUGUUCAGGGUUCUUUAUCUAGCAGCCCUAGUCACCACCUACCGAUGCCCGAGUCUCCCUUAGUAACCCCAAGCGCAUCGUUGCUGCAGCCCACUCAGGGCGUCUCAGGUGAUGGGGAGUGGUCUGGAGCCUCCUCUGAUAGUGAAUUUUUUGUGCCUGACACAGAUGGUCUGACAGCCCUUAAUAUGUCUUCACCCGUUUCUGUAGCUGAGUUUACAUAUCCAACCUCUAUGUCUGGUGACAAUAACAAGCUACUUUCUAAAAGUGACACAAUACACGGAGAGGAGACAGAACGGCACAUUUCUUCUUUCAGUGACCUGGUUUACCCCUCUGAAAGCACAGUCAUGCCUGACCUGUAUGAUCAUGUAAAUACAUUGAAUGCCUCUUUACAAGAAUCCUCUGCUUCCACUUCUAGCCCAGAGGGCAUCCUCCCAGAGCUUCUUGUUUUAACUGCCACUAAGGUUUAUGAUCAUGAGAUUAGUCAAAUUCCAGAAAGUAACUUUCCGGUUCAGUCUUCACACGCUGUAUUUCAAGCAUUUGGUGACACUUCGCUUAAAUCUGCACACUCAGAGCCAGCAUCCUCUGACCCUACUUCUAGUGAAAUGUUAUCUCCUUCAACUCAGCUCUUAGUUUAUGAGCCCUCAGCUUCUUUUAGUACUGAAGUAUUGCUGCAACCUUCCUUUCAGGCUUCUGGUAUUGACUUGUUGCUUAAAACUGAUCUGCCAGCUAUGCCUAGUGACCCAAUAGUGGUUGAAACCCCCAAGGUUGAGCACAUUAGUUCUACAGUAUCACAUCUCGUGGCAUCCAAUGCCGCUUCAAGGGAAAAUACGCUGCACUCUACAUCUGUACCAAUCUCUGAUGUAUCACCUACUCCUAAUACGCACGCUGCUUCACUUCAAGCUUUAACCAUUUCUUAUGCAAGUGAGAAAUAUUCUGAACCAGUUUUGCAUAAAAGCGAAAGUUCCCACCAAACAGUACCUUCAUUGUCCAAUAAUGAUGAGUUGUUCCAAACUGCCAAUUUGGAGCUUAACCAGGUCUUUCCUCCAGAAGGAAGGCAUGCAUUUGCAACUCCUGUUUUAUCAGUUGUACCACCAGAUACGCUUAUAAGUAAGCUUGUUUAUUCUGAUGAAGUCUUCACCUCCACCAAGGGCCCAGUCACCGAUGAGGUAUUGGCUGGUAUUCCUACAGUUGUUUCUGAUCCAGUUGUAACUGCUGAUCCUUCUGUCCCUUUAGGAAAUGUGUAUGUUUCCAUUUCAGCCAUUUCUCCAAACAAGGAUGGUUCUGUAACCACAACCGAGUUGCUGUUUCCUUCUAGAACAACUUCUGAGCCAAUUCAAAGUGCCCGAUCUGAUGCCAGUUUGGUGGGUGGUGGUGACGAUGGUGAUAUUGAUGAUUACGGUGAUGAUUAUUAUGAUGACAGAGAUAAAGAUGGCUUAUCUAUCAAUAGGUGUAUGUCAUGCUUCUCCUAUAGAGAAUCACAGGAAAAGGUAAUGAAUGACUCAGACACCCAGCAGAACAGUUCUGUGGAUCAGAAUAACCCAAUCUCAUAUGCACUAUCUGAGAAUUCUGAAGAAGGAAAUAAAAUCACAGGUGUUAUAUCAGACAAUCAGACUGAUAUGGACAGAAGUCCUGAUAAAUCACCACCAACAAAUGUGCCAGCCCAGAAGCACAAUGAUGGAAAACAGGAAAAUGAUGUUCAGACUAACAAUGCCCUGCUUCCUUUCAGCCCAGAAUCUAAAGCUUGGGCAGUUCUUACAAGUGAUGAAGAGAGUGGAUCAGGGCAAGGUGCCUCAGAUAGCCUUAAUGAUAACGAGACUUCCACAGAUUUCAGUUUUCCUGAUAUUAAUGAAAAAGAUGGUGAUGGGGUACUGGAAACAGGUGACUCAGAAAUAACUCCUGGAUCCCCACAGUCCUCAACACCGACUAUUACUAGCGGGCAUUCAGAAGUGUUCAACAUUUCAGAGGCAGAGGCCAGUAAUAGUAGCCAUGAGUCUCGUAUUGGUCUAGCUGAGGGGCUGGAAUCCGAGAAGAAGGCGGUUAUACCCCUUGUGAUCGUGUCGGCCCUGACUUUUAUCUGUCUAGUGGUUCUUGUGGGUAUUCUCAUCUACUGGAGGAAAUGUUUCCAGACCGCACAUUUUUAUUUAGAGGACAGUACGUCCCCUCGAGUAAUAUCCACACCUCCAACACCUAUCUUUCCAAUUUCAGAUGAUGUUGGAUCAAUUCCAAUAAAGCACUUUCCAAAGCAUGUUGCAGACUUACAUGCAAGUAGUGGGUUUACUGAAGAAUUUGAGACACUGAAAGAGUUUUACCAGGAGGUACAGAGCUGUACUGUUGAUUUAGGUAUCACAGCAGACAGCUCCAAUCACCCCGACAAUAAGCACAAGAACCGAUACAUAAAUAUUGUUGCCUAUGAUCAUAGUAGAGUUAAACUCGCACAACUUGCUGAGAAGGAUGGCAAACUGACUGAUUAUAUCAAUGCCAAUUAUGUUGAUGGCUACAACAGACCAAAAGCUUACAUUGCUGCCCAAGGCCCACUGAAAUCCACCGCCGAAGACUUCUGGAGAAUGAUAUGGGAGCAUAAUGUGGAAGUUAUUGUCAUGAUAACGAACCUUGUGGAGAAAGGAAGGAGAAAGUGUGACCAGUACUGGCCUGUGGAUGGCAGUGAAGAGUAUGGGAACUUUCUGGUCACUCAAAAGAGUAUUCAAGUGCUUGCUUAUUAUACUGUGAGGAAUUUUACUCUAAGAAACACAAAGAUCAAAAAGGGUUCCCAAAAAGGAAGACCCAGUGGGCGCGUGGUUACCCAGUACCACUACACUCAGUGGCCUGACAUGGGGGUGCCCGAGUACUCCCUGCCAGUGCUAACCUUUGUGAGAAAGGCCUCGCAUGCCAAGCGCCACGCAGUAGGGCCUGUUGUUGUCCACUGCAGUGCUGGAGUUGGAAGAACGGGCACGUACAUCGUGCUAGACAGUAUGCUGCAGCAAAUUCAACAUGAAGGAACCGUCAACGUAUUUGGCUUUUUAAAACACAUUCGUUCACAAAGAAAUUACUUGGUGCAAACUGAGGAACAGUAUGUCUUCAUUCAUGAUGCACUGGUCGAGGCCAUACUCAGUAAAGAAACUGAGGUCCCGGACAGCCACAUCCAUGCCUAUGUUAACGGGCUCCUCAUUCCUGGACCAACGGGCAAAACAAAGCUAGAGAAGCAAUUCAAGGUGAGUUCUCUUCAAAGUCCCUCUCUUGGGUGUCACCAUGGGUUGGCGUGUUCCCGCAUCUCCUCAUUUGAGUGGACAAGGCCACGAGGACAGGCUGGGUGCUCUGUUGGCCCAGUGCUCUUGAGUCAAUCAAAUAUACAGCAGAGUGACUAUUCUACAGCCCUAAAGCAAUGCAACAGAGAAAAGAACAGAACGUCUUCCAUCAUCCCUGUGGAAAGAUCCAGGGUUGGCAUUUCAUCCCUGAGUGGAGAAGGUGCAGACUACAUCAAUGCCUCCUACAUCAUGGGUUAUUAUCAGAGCAAUGAAUUCAUCAUCACCCAGCAUCCCCUUCUCCACACCAUCAAGGAUUUCUGGAGGAUGAUAUGGGACCAUAAUGCCCAGCUGGUUGUUAUGCUUCCAGAUGGUCAAAACAUGGCAGAAGAUGAAUUUGUUUACUGGCCAAAUAAAGAUGAGCCUAUAAAUUGUGAGAGUUUUAAGGUCACUCUUAUGGCCGAGGAACACAAAUGUCUGUCUAAUGAGGAGAAACUUAUAAUGCAAGAUUUUAUCCUAGAAGCUACACAGGAUGACUAUGUACUUGAAGUGCGGCACUUUCAGUGCCCCAAAUGGCCAAAUCCAGACAGCCCCAUUAGUAAAACUUUUGAACUUAUAAGUAUUAUCAAAGAAGAAGCCGCCACCAGGGAUGGGCCCAUGAUUGUUCAUGAUGAGCACGGAGGAGUGACAGCUGGAACCUUCUGUGCUCUGACGACCCUGAUGCACCAACUCGAAAAAGAAAAUUCCGUGGAUGUGUACCAGGUAGCCAAGAUGAUCAAUUUGAUGAGGCCGGGAGUCUUUGCCGACAUUGAGCAGUAUCAGUUUCUCUACAAAGCAGUCCUCAGCCUUGUGAGCACAAGGCAGGAAGAGAACCCGUCCACCUCUCUGGACAGUAACGGCGCGGCAUUGGCUGAUGGAAAUAUAGCCGAGAGCUUAGAGUCUUUAGUUUGACGUGGAAAGGGGUGAGAAGAGCCCACAUGUACUGCUUCCCUCUUUCUAAAAUUAGACUGGAAAAUCAGUUCCGUUCUGUUAUCUGUUUACUUCACAUCACCUGACAGUUACUACCAUGACAUAGGAUUCUGCUGCCAAAUUUACAUCAUUAACAAUGUGUGCCUUUUUUGCAAAACUUCUUGUAAUUCACUUAUUGUGUUUAAACUAAAAUGAUUGAAAUUUACAGUAUUUCUAAGAAUGGAAUUGUGGUAUCUUUUUUUCAUAUUGAUUUUAACAGAAAAUUUCAAUUUACAGAUACUAGGAAUUCCCAACUAGAAUUCCCAAACAGAAAACAUGUUUGUUUUUAGUGUCAAAUUUUUAGCUGUAUUUGUAGCAAUCAUCAAGUUUGCUAGAAAUAUAACUUUUAAUAUAGUAUACUGUAAAUAAAACACCCUGUUCCCUACGAUAUUCA